AGAGAGGAGUGAUGAGAGAGAGAAGUAACAAAAGUGAAAACAAAAUUUAAAAAUUGAAAUCUAUUUGAAAUUAUUUUUCACUUUUGUUACUUCUCCCUCCCAUCCUCUUAUCUUAUCCUCA
rnacentral:miRNA from 1 species